rnacentral:sRNA from 1 species
AUGGCUGUCGUCAGCUCGUGUCGUGAGAUGUUGGGUUAAGUCCCGCAACGAGCGCAACCCUUAUUCUAUGUUGCCAGCGCGUAAUGGCGGGGACUCGUAGGAGACUGCCGGGGUCAACCCGGAGGAAGGUGGGGACGACGUCAAGUCAUCAUGCCCCUUACGUCCAGGGCUGCACACAUGCUACAAUGGCCGGUACAAAGGGCUGCUAUCCCGCGAGGGUGAGCGAAUCCCAUAAAGCCGGUCUCAGUUCGGAUUGCAGUCUGCAACUCGACUGCAUGAAGUCGGAGUCGCUAGUAAUCCCGGAUCAGCAACGCCGGGGUGAAUACGUUCCCGGGCCUUGUACACACCGCCCGUCAAACCACGAAAGUCGGCAACACCCGAAGCCGGUCACCCAACCCUUUUGGGAGGGAGCCGUCGAAGGUGGGGUCGGUGAUUGGGGUUAAGUCGUAACAAGGUAGCCGUACCGGAAGGUGCGGCUGGAUCACCUCCUUUCUAAGGAGUUUCCUGCAGGAAUCGCUUCGAUUUUCGUGGCGUGAACUGCGAAAUUCCCAGUCGAUCACUGGUUACUCGGCGUUCUCGGCGCAAACUGGCGUCGGUCGUACUGUGAAGCUUUUGCCGAUCAGUCCCUUCCCCAGUUUGCAAGGUGAGCAAUGGACUGUUCCUGUUCCGUUUUCAGGGAGCGACCAAUUGGCGCGCCCUUUGAGAACUCCAUAGCGAGCACGAGCAUCUAAUUCUCCAAGCUACAAAGAGCCAACGGUGGAUGCCUUGGCGCCUGAAGCCGAUGAAGGACGUGGGAGGCUGCGAAAAGCCACGGGGAGCUGCCUACCAAGCUUCGAUCCGUGGACGUCCGAAUGGGGAAACCCGG